ACUAAAUAGAUACCCAGGUAGUCCACGCCGUAAACGUUGGGCGCUAGGUGUGGGGCUCUUUCCACGAGUUCCGUGCCGCAGCAAAAACGCAUUAAGCGCCCCGCCUGGGGAGUACGGCCGCAAGGCUAAAACUCAAAGGAAUUGACGGGGGCCCGCACAAGCGGCGGAGCAUGCGGAUUAAAUUCGAUGCAACGCGAAGAACCUUACCAAGGCUUGACAUACGCAGAAAACCGGCAGAGAUGUCGGGUCCGUAAGGGCUGUGUACAGGUGGUGCAUGGUUGUCGUCAGCUCGUGUCGUGAGAUGUUGGGUUAAGUCCCGCAACGAGCGCAACCCUCGUUCCAUGUUGCCAGCACGUAAUGGUGGGGACUCAUGGGAGACUGCCGGGGUCAACUCGGAGGAAGGUGGGGAUGACGUCAAAUCAUCAUGCCCCUUAUGUCUUGGGCUUCACGCAUGCUACAAUGGCCAGUACAAAGGGCUGCGAGACCGUAAGGUGGAGCGAAUCCCAAAAGCUGGUCUCAGUUCGGAUCGGGGGUCUGCAAC
rnacentral:rRNA from 1 species